GAAACCGAGUCUUAAUUGGGCGUUAAGUUGCAGGGUAUAGACCCGAAACCCGGUGAUCUAGCCAUGGGCAGGUUGAAGGUUGGGUAACACUAACUGGAGGACCGAACCGACUAAUGUUGAAAAAUUAGCGGAUGACCUGUGGCUGGGGGUGAAAGGCCAAUCAAACCGGGAGAUAGCUGGUUCUCCCCGAAAGCUAUUUAGGUAGCGCCUCGUGAAUUCAUCUCCGGGGGUAGAGCACUGUUUCGGCUAGGGGGCCAUCCCGGCUUACCAACCCGAUGCAAACUGCGAAUACCGGAGAAUGUUAUCACGGGAGACACACGGCGGGUGCUAACGUCCGUCGUGAAGAGGGAAACAACCCAGACCGCCAGCUAAGGUCCCAAAGUCAUGGUUAAGUGGGAAACGAUGUGGGAAGGCCCAGACAGCCAGGAUGUUGGCUUAGAAGCAGCCAUCAUUUAAAGAAAGCGUAAUAGCUCACUGGUCGAGUCGGCCUGCGCGGAAGAUGUAACGGGGCUAAACCAU
rnacentral:rRNA from 5 species